GCCCAAGUCAGCCAGGAAGGAGGAGGCAGCCAGAGUGUUCUCUGCAGCAGAAGACCCCUUGCUGCCAGAUUGGACCCUCAGCUUGAAGUUGGGCAGGUUUCUGGAACCAGAGCUCUGCUGACCCUAUUGUGCCAUCGGAAUGAAUCAACCUGGGGUUCGUGCUGAAGUUUCACCCACGAGCACCCCCCCCCCGCAUUUUGUAAUCAAUGGUUGCUGGUCAAGUGAUAUGCUCAGCAGAAGAGGAAGAGGGAGGGAGAUUGCUCGUGGAGACAAUGAAACCGGAGCUACUGGAUCAUCUGCAGCAUGAUUCUUGGCUUCCAAGGCUGACCUCAGAACCACCUUUCCAACAGCAAAAUAUUUUCCAACAGCAAGAAGUCAUAUGGAAGGCCAGUGUUAAUGCAAUGUGGUGCCACACAUCUCAAGUUCUGGCUCCAAACAGAGCUGGGAGUGAGGAGAGCUUCCCACACACCUUUCUUUUCCUGUUCUUUACUGGGCUGUGAGUGGGAAGCUGAAGAAAAACCAUCCUAACCAGUACUGAAAUAUUGUUGUGGGUGACAUGAUGACUAAAUCACUGCAGAUAAGAGGCUUGCAUUGAAAUUUCAGACCUAAAGACAGAACAGAAAAGGUCACUAAUUCUAUAAAUAACUGUCCA